rnacentral:rRNA from 1 species
UACGUAGGGGGCAAGCGUUGUCCGGAAUCAUUGGGCGUAAAGCGCGCGUAGGCGGCCCGGUAAGUCCGCUGUGAAAGUCAAAGGCUCAACCUUUGAAUGUCAGCGGAUACUGCCGGGCUAGAGUCCGGAAGAGGCGAGUGGAACUCCUGGUGUAGCGGUGGAAUGCGCAGAUAUCAGGAGGAACACCAAUAGCGAAGGCAGCUCGCUGGGACGUUACUGACACUGAGGCGCGAAAGCGUGGGGAGCGAACAGG